GCUUCUAUACGUCCACAACCGAUACGUUACACUAAAAAUUAGCACAUGUCUACAGAAGAUAGCAGUACCAUAUAGAAAACCAGAAUUAUGUGGUUACGACAUUGCGAAAGUACAGCAUCGCCGUACGUACGACGAUAAGCUACAUAAGCAACAAACACACACAAGGCAGAAGUUUGUGGCCGUCGUACAAGUUUAGGCUGCCCCUUUUUAUAACUGUGACAGGGGUAUGACGUCGCGUCGGUCGUUUGCCGGCAACAGGCUCGUGCAACUUCGUACUGUGAGCUCCGAGUGGGCGAAACUCUUCCUGCUAUCACCAUCGCAAACAUCAGCGUCAAUCGCUUGUAAAUCGUAAGCGACGUUAUACCUCACUGAAUUCCUUCGACUUUGUGAAAACCUUUGACAAAUGAAACUUUGCGUGGAUGGUGUUUCCGAUGAAGCGGCGUAAUCAAACAGAAAGUCGACAGAAGAUUAUCUUACCAGGCUUACUCUCUUUGGUAUCAUCCUGUGAUUGGGAGCAGAACGAAUAGAGCCCCAGACAACAGCGGAAGAUCAGCGACAGUCAUUUUUCUUACCUUUAUAACAAGGAUACUGCUGGCGCGGAAAAUAGAUAACGGAAAUUCGUUUUAUUAUCAUUAUUAUUAUCUAGCCAAAACAACUACAGUAAGGGUGACAUUAGGGCCGUAAUCGUACUGUUUGAGCAUUCGUCUACUCCGGCACCUUGGCGUUCCUAUCAGCAGCUCCGUGUAGUACAUGUUGAAUGCAUUUACUUAAUAGUAUGACAACGUUUAUACAGUGCGAGCGCGAACGGUAUUUAGAUGGCGGCAAUAAUGAGUCAGCGAAAGCCUCCAGGAUGGACAAACAAAAUGCGGGCUCGCUUGCCUUACACACCCCCAAGUGCACGGACGCACCUGAAGCUGUAAAAAAAAAAGCGUUAUUUCCAAAAAAUGACAGCGCUUAUUUGUGUCGCCAGGGCUGUGCGCAUUGUUGGGUUUCUUGUCAAUGCUGAUUUUUCAUUGCUGGACCUAUCUGCCCCAUGGCUGGGUUACUAAAUAGUUAUCGACAAAUAAUACCCGUUGUUACUAUAAAAACAUUAAGUAAAGAUGUCGUGCAAGACAAUAUACGUCCUGUAGAUUAUAGACACGUUCAGAAUAAAGGCGUAUUAGAGAAAGUAGCUACAGAAAGAAGCAAGAAGAUGUUAUAAUGGAUAAAACGCUCUUUGCUAGACCAACGAAAAAGGAGUCCUAUAAGUGACACAGUCCAGGUACGUGGAGAAAGGUCACUCGCAAAUCUGCAUAUCUGUUUGCCUUCAUUCAUCGAAAGCUGACAGAUGUAGCCCAUGUCUC